rnacentral:lncRNA from 1 species
CCCCCACCCCACUCCACCCCCUCCCCAAAGCCCCCACCCUGCCUCUUCAUUCAACUUCAACACAUUCCACUAAGUUAUUACAACCUGUGCUUAUUUAUGUAUUUAUUAAUUCAAGUGUGUGUCGCUGUUGAAUCUAUGCAGCAACUAGGUGUUUUGGGUAAGCCCCUGUCUUUGAGUUCUAUCAAAAUACAUGAAAGGAAAUGGGAGUCUUGCUGUUUUAUUACAUAUUAGAGCAGCGGUCGGCAACCUUUGAGAAGUGGCAUGCCAAGUCUUCAGUAAUUUCGAGGAUUCGCGUGCCAGUAAUAAAUUUUACAUUUACAGGGGCCCCUCGACAGAACCCCUGACUGGCAGAGGGCUGAGCGGGGCAGCGGCAGGGACCCCAGCUGGCAGGGGCCGGUGGACGGAACCCCAGACCACAGCUCCUGCCAGCCAGGGUCCCAGCCCCCAGCGCCACUCAGCCCGCGGCCGUCCCCAGGUUCCGUCUAUCCAGGCCGGCAGCAGGAUGAGUGGGGCCAGCGGCCAGGACCGCAGACCGUCAGUGCAGGCAGCAGACGGAACCCCAGCCCGUGUUCCAGGGAGCGUGGGCAGCAGACUCGGUCUGAAGCAGUCAAUCUACCAAGCUGUGAGUGAAGAUGAGGAAAUGAACAAGGAACUACAACAGAAACUACCUGUGUGUACAAGGGGAAACCAGUGUGAGAGACAAUGGGAACCCGAGGCUGGAUAACUAGCCAUGAUGAACUCUCUUCUUUUGAAGGUCUGAUAGACCAGCCUGCGCUUCCUUCAACUUCCACGCGUUCCACUGAGUUAUUACAACCUGGGCUUAUUUAUGUAUUUAUUCAUUCAAAUAUAUGUUGCUAUUGAAUUUAUUCAGCAGCUAGGUAUUUGGGGUAAGCCCCUGUCUUGGGUCCUGUUACAACUCAAACAAUUCAGGUAGUCUCAGUCUUUGGAGAAGUUGUCCCUGUCCAUAUUUGUCUGAUUACAUGAAGUGAUUAUGAGCAGUAGUGGCUCAAGAGAGAGCUCAUUGUUCAUCCAAUCCACAUUCUAAACUACUCAUCGCCUCAGGUAGUCUGAGCAGGUCAAGAUGAACAGCACUGUGAAUCUGUGUCUGGGUGCAGUGCCUGGCUUGUGAAUAACCAGGACUUCAGAUUCUGGCGCUGCCAAAUAUUCAGGAUUACAAAAUAAGGCAGGUGGAGCAAGUACAAGAACUUGCUACCGUCCUGAAAUCUGUUGUCUGGACACAAUCAGCUGUUUGAUUCAUUGUCUGUUUCACAUAACUAUGAUAAGGAGACACUAGUUAAGUGAUCUUCAUGGAAAUGUGGCUUCCAUGCCAUAGCUAAACUGUUAUAGCCAUAAAAAGGCUGUCUUUUGAUAUGAAUGUUCUUCAAUAUUUUAUAUGAAAUUUAAAUAUUUGGUAUUUAUGCUGAAGGUUUAAGAACAGUAACGUUCUGAACAUCCUUGGACAUUUUAUGUCUUCAUUGUAUGACAUACUGUCAUGUUCCUGGAAAAUAAAUGGCAUUGCUAAUUCUACUGUACUAAAAUG